rnacentral:siRNA from 1 species
UUACCAAGUUAUUAGAACGCACA